CACAACUCGUAUCGGAUUACUGGGCGUAAGCGUGCGCAGGCUGAUUGUUAAGCAAGACGUGAAAUCCCCGGGCUUAACCUGGGAAUGGCGUUUUGAACUGGCAGUCUAGAGUGCGUCAGAGGGGGGUGGAAUUCCACGUGUAGCAGUGAAAUGCGUAGAGAUGUGGCGGAACACCAAUGGCGAAGGCAGCCCCCUGGGAUGACACUGACGCUCAUGUACGAAAGCGUGGGUAGCAAACAGGAUUAGAUACCCUGGUAGUCCACGCCCUAAACGAUGUCAACUGGUUGUUGGGGGAGUGAAAUCCCUUAGUAACGAAGCUAACGCGUGAAGUUGACCGCCUGGGGAGUACGGUCGCAAGAUUAAAACUCAAAGGAAUUGACGGGGACCCGCACAAGCGGUGGAUGAUGUGGAUUAAUUCGAUGCAACGCGAAAAACCUUACCUACCCUUGACAUGUCCAGAACCCUGAAGAGAUUUGGGGGUGCCCGAAAGGGGAUUGGAACACAGGUGCUGCAUGGCUGUCGUCAGCUCGUGUCGUGAGAUGUUGGGUUAAGUCCCGCAACGAGCGCAACCCUUAUCAUUAGUUGCUACGCAAGGGCACUCUAAUGAGACUGCCGGUGACAAACCGGAGGAAGGUGGGGAUGACGUCAAGUCCUCAUGGCCCUUAUGGGUAGGGCUUCACACGUCAUACAAUGGUCGGUACAGAGGGUUGCCAAGCCGCGAGGUGGAGCCAAUCCCAGAAAGCCGAUCGUAGUCCGGAUUGUUCUCUGCAACUCGAGAGCAUGAAGUCGGAAUCGCUAGUAAUCGCGGAUCAGCAUGUCGCGGUGAAUACGUUCCCGGGUCUUGUACACACCGCCCGUCACACCAUGGGAGUGGAAUCUGGCAGAAGUAGGUAGCCUAACCGCAAGGAGGGCGCUUACCACGCUGGGUUUCAUGACUGGGGUG
rnacentral:rRNA from 1 species